CCUCCAGUAAUCGCCAUACUCCACGAAGGCCAUAUCGAGGGAGUCAUAGGUGAGGCGUCCUGUGCCGACCAGCCGUGGGCGACUGCAACAAUCGAGGUCAUGGGUCUUGAGGACCUCCCUGGCGGCUUCAGGGGAGGACGUUACGAUGGUAGGGACACCGCCGAGGCGGAUGAACAUGACGGGGCCAUACCGUCUGGAGAGUUUCCACAGAGACUGAUGAGGCAAAUGGCCGAGUUGGUGGAGGUUGCCUAUGAUGGGGAGUGGUGGAGGCCCUGGAGGGAGGUUCUUCUUUUUGUUAUUGAAGUUUUUCACUGAGAGGAGGAAAAGGAGGAGAGGAAGGGAAACAGCAAGCCACGUGAAGAGGAUGUGAAGAGCCAUUGUCGGGAUGGUUAUGUGCAGUAAGAAUACUUAAAAUGUUGAGUUAAUUUGGCGUGGUUGAGUAGUGUUAUAUACAAAAUGGAUGCUGAAGAAUCAACUCUUGGAAUUGAUACAUAGACUUUUCUGAUCUGUCUGUAGUGACGAUUUUUCUCUGAUUAUCCACAGACAAAAAUGGUGGAUGAAUCCAUGAUGAUCACUUCUUGCAUAAUAUGACCGAUUCAUAACAUGUUGAUGUUCAAGAAGAUAUUGAUUCCUAAUUGGAAUCUGCAGCUUCAUCCUAAAGAUUUUCAAGUUGUUUCAACAUUAUUAGUUACCAAGGGGCCUCAAAAAGUAAAGGGCGUGUGUUUGACAUGCUUGACUUCUCCAAUUAUAAAGGAAACUUAAAAACAUCUACCAUCUUCAAUUUUGUUAAGAAAAUUCCAAUAAAGCACCUUGCUUUGCCGUGAUAGUCAGGAUAACAAGAAAUUGUCAAUGGACACAAAGGAGAUUAUUUGAAAGAGUCAACAUAUUUCUCAUCUUGUCUUAUUUUACCGAUAUAUUAUCAUGGAUGGAUAAUUUUCUCAACAUGAAACAAUUUACAUUCAUGCUACUCAAACUUGAUUCGCAUCAACUACAGGCUUGAGUUUGGCCUUGUAUACCUUGCAUUAUUAAAAACAAUUUGUACACGCAUUGAAUUUGUGAAACUAGAUAUUGUACCGCGGUUCUCAUUCAUCGAAUUUCUCAAAUGAUUUCUUUUCAUGCAUGGCCUUAUGAAAAGUCUUGCUUUGAACUCAAUGGAAAAAGGCCGAGAAUUUUCAUUAGAUUACUUGAAUGUAUAUUACUUUCAUAAAGGUACUACGCUAAACGAUUGUUUGAGAUAUCACUUUGGUGGGCUGCCAAUGAAAAUUUAUGCUAUGUAAUCGAAAGUUUUUUUUUUUUUUUUUGGCACCGAGAGUUGUUAGUCCUAAUUAAUUAUGAAGGUUUUCAAGUAUAUUGGUGCCAAAAAAGUCCUAAACCUUUUGUAUUUGUGCUGAUUUAGUCCUAAACCUUUUUUUAGUGCUGAUUUAGUCCUAAACAUUUUUACGUUGUGCAAAUUCAGUCAUUUCUAGCCAAUUUUGGUCAGAAUUUGCUGACUAGACGCCAGUCAGCUUACGUGGCCUGACCGAUGCUGACAUGGACUACUUUUAAUAAUAUUUUAAUAUUUUUGAAUUUUUUUUUCUUUUUUUCUUCUCAUCUUCUUCCUCCAGUCGGUCGCCAGACCUCGUCGCCUGGCUCAACCUCGCCGGCCACCUCGCCAAUGGCUGCGAGAGUGACCUUGCACUGGGCGGGAAGGCUCGCCCUUGCUAGAUCUAGCCAAGGCGAGCCUCACCUGCCUGGCGCGAGGCCGCCCUUAAGGCCUAGGCAGCGAGCCUCGCCCAUGGCCGGCGAGGGCGAGCCCCGCCAGCUCAGUGCAAGGAGGCAGCCGAAUUCAGUCCUCGAGGCCUAUCGUCGUCCUCCUCCGACAUGUCGACACCCGGCGGCAUGGAGGCAAGCUUUGCGGCGCGCGCCGAGAGCACCUUCUCGACGAUUUUCAGGCUUGGGUCUUCGUUCACUUUGUGACAUCCGAAUUUCGCCGGACCUCGAAUAUGUAACUGUCUGAGACGGGUUGACGAAUUUAUCAUCGGAUUACGUCAUUGGCACUACUUACGACCCCAUUUCAUCACCAUCGCUAGACCGAGACAUCACGUUUCGUGAUGGUCUUAUGACAUACCCUCGUGGUCAUGUCUUUGCCACGUCGAGACGAUCUGAUUUUCAUAUAUCUUAUCGUCUCGUCGAAAAUCUUCUUACGUAACACCAUCCGCGAGACCAAGAUUCUUUCCAACUAACACGUUGCCAAGCCAUUUUUCGUGAAGACGUCCGUUGUCUCUCACGCGUGCGUGCACAAGGCAAGGGACCGAGAAUUCUUCAGUCCAUGUGCAUGCAGAAACAAGGAACCCACGGCCACGUCUUUUCCUUUGUUUAACCAGUCAACCAAGAGGAAAUUGUUGACCCAUGCAGCCUUCACGAACCGGUCCUUCUUCAUGCAGCAUCCGAAGACACGCCGCACCAAAUUGCUUCUCCCAUCGACAGCCAUUUGGACCCCAUUUAGUUGAAUCGGGCAGUCAACUAAAUGAUGGGCACGUAAGUGCAUGGAGCAGCAGGUGUCGUGGACGAAGGGGAAAGAACUUCCCAUGCAAAGACACGGAAACAUGGAGUUGUCCCCGUCCACUGCUGCCACGAAAUUUGGACUGUUGACGUGCGCGCGCUCCUAUCCUUCUUCGGCCAGCAGGCUUCGAAACUCAUGCAUACGGAAGACACGUCCUCUCCAGCUGCUGCUCGCCCGAAGAGCCACCGAAUCAGCCCAUUGUUGACUCUUAAAGUCAACAAAAAUAACCCACGAAUACCUCACUUUUCCCUCUCACGCUCGGCAGUUGUUACAUCCUCUCGACGCCCAUCUUUCUCUCUUUCUCGGUGUUUUUCUCUCUCUCGGCGCCCAAAUUCUCUGUCUUCUUUCUUCAUUUUCAGCGGUGAUUGCAUCGCAGAAAACCCAGAAUUCCUUCACCAUGUCAAUCGUAAUUUGUUGUUCCGCCCAUACUUCGUCGGCCACUCGCACCACACCGCCGCACCACCCACGCCACCAACCUCCUGCGCCACUGUAGACCCAAGUUUCGAUCGCUAUCGCGUCAUUGUCGCCGUGAACCGGUGUAUUUGCUAACCCGGUGAGUUUAUGCACUAAACUCUUCUUAGUAGGCUAAUGACAUUUAAGGGGUAUUUACAUUAAUUUAAGUGUAAUUAAUUUAAUUAUUAAAUAUUUUUUGGAAAUAAGGCCGGGGUAGUCGAUGAUCGGAAUUUUGUAUUGAUUGCAAUGAUGUAGUUAAUUUCUGCAAUCGAGUGUUAAAUUGUGAAAAUUGAGUGCUGAUCGGAAAUUUGGUCAUUUAUUUCAAAAUUUGUGAAUUUCAAUAUUUAUUUAAAAAAUCCCGGGUGUCGGGUUUUAAACACCGAAAAUGGUUUUAUAUAAUAUAUAAACCAGUGGGAUUUUGAAAAGAAGGUUAUGAAUUUUCCAGGUUCAAUCUAAUCGUAUACCCACACACAACUAUUUUUCUUCGGAAGUUUUUAAUAUGAAGAAAAUAGGGCAGGAACACUAUUUUAAUUGAGGCAUUUGAGUGCAAUGCACGGUGUCCUAGGCCGAGAUUGAUUGGUCGUGCGUUGGUUAAGAGAACCCGUCCCCGAACUGUGUCGGAUGGACGUUAUCCUAUAUGGGUUACCCACUUAUUGGGUUUUGGGUCACAAUAGAUUCUGGACCUAUGCUCAUUCGAGAAAGCUGUCUUUGAGAGACAUAGCCGUGCUCAAUGAGGUGAGGAUGCCUGGCUACGCCAGUAGACCGCCGAACUUCAAGUAGGCCGUGCCCUAGAGUGGGCGUAAUUAUCAAUUGGAACGCAUGUUGAGUGAAAUAUAUGUGCCAGAUUAUGGGACAAAAUUGUAUAACAUGGAAUGAGACGUGUCAUAACGAUUUGGCCAUAUAAUCAGGACCCCUGUGCUCAUUUGAGAAUUGAGUAUGGCGUUCCAGUUAUUGAAGCUUAAUUAUUGCUCGUACCGGUAUGGCUAUCUAUGAUAUAAACUGUACUGACCUGUAAGGUAGAUCUGAGGCGAGGUAAGUCAUCUAUACCAAAUGCGUGAUUGUGUGGUUAGGACGCCUUUGGGCAUAUUACCCUCCUAAUCGAGGUUUAGAGCAUGGACUUGCUGGGACAUUAUCUCAUUGGUUAUUGAAUAACCAUUUUCAGGUCCUUAGAAGGUGGUUGUGGAGGACCAAGGCCCCGAACUCUGAGGAGGAGGAUUAUGGAGGAUCGGCGGAUGUGUCCUGUUAGUAUGUCAUAGGAUAACCUCUUUUGAGAGUCGACCUUCCUGUAGGCUUUCAACUAGACUCGUUUUGUACUUGAAUCUCGUUGUUCAUAAAAGUGUGCUUUUGUGAAUUGAUGUCCUACUUUUCUAUCCUGAGAUGAUUACUGUCAGGGGAUUUAUUUUCGCUUCCGCAUAUGCUUAAAAAUGAAUGGGUUGGUGACUCAUCAUCGGAAGUCACAAAUUUUAUCGACCAAAGAGGGAUGGGCAUGUGCUUGAGGUUUGGGGCAUGACACGCUUCUUUGUCGUUGUCGUCAUUGCUGUUGUCGCCAAGCGGCAUUGCGGACUUCAACUUGUGCUCCACGUCGUCUCCUUCGCCGCCAUCGGCUUCGCUCUCCUCCCCAUGCUCCUCAUGCCAAGCUGGCGAGGCUUGCCCUUGCCAGCCAUGGGCGAGGCUCGACCUCGCUAAAUCCGAUAAGGGCGAGCCUCGCCGCCAAGGCCUCGAGGGUAACCUUGUGCCGAGCGGGCAAGCCUCGCCACCCAGCGCGAGGCCGCCCUCGCAGCCAUUGGCGAGGUGGCUGGUGAGGUUGACCUCGACCUCACCAGUCGUCGCCUCUGGCUGAUCGCCGAGGUUCAACAACCGGCUGGAGGAAGAAGAGGAGAAGAAAAAAAUAAUAAUAAAUAAUAAAUAAUAAAAAGAAAAAAAUCAAUAACAUUAAAAUAUUAUCAAAAGUAGUCCACAUCAGCGUUGAUCAGACCACGUUAGUCGACCAGCAUCCAGUUAACAAAUUCCAGCCGACCAGCAUCCAGUUAACAAAUUCCGGCCAAAGUUGGCCGGAAAGAACUAAAGUGGCACAACAUAAAAAGGUUUAGGACUUUUUUGGCACUUUUCCACUAUGUAAUCGAAUUUUUUUUUUUUUUUUGCACCGAGAGUUGUUAGUCCUAAUUAAUUAUGAAGGUUUUCAAGUAUAUUGGUGCAUGAGAAAGAUCGAUAUUAUUUCAAGAGCACUACAUAGGGGCAUAUAUGUCCUUUAGAAUGAUAUUCACCGAACAAUUGAUAGGAUAAGAUAUAAAAACGUCAAACUAUAGAUCCGUAGUUCACCAAAUAAUAAAUAGGAUAUGACAAAAUUAUUCAAACCUUUUCUAACUAGAAAUCUGGAAGACCAAAUGCAAUUUUAUAUCCAAUUUUGUUAGAGCAAUUAGCUAAUUGCAUUGGAUUUGGGUGAUUUUCCAUUAUAUCACGAUAAUGUAUAUACAGGACAUGAGGCUUCUGAAAGUUUGUUGACACCUAAAAAUACCCCCACGAGUAUGUGCAAGGCACGAGGGACAGAAAGCUCUAAAGCCACCAUCACAACCAUAUAUUAGUUAUAAUCCACAUUGGUCCAGCCCAAAAAAUCCAUACGAUACAAGAUAAUUAAGGAUUUUGAGAAAUUUUGGGCUGAAUUUCGACAAAUAAAGAUAUGUAAUAUCAUGAUGAAGCAACAGAACACCACGUGUUGAAGCCAGAGAUCAAUGAUGAAGAUAUAGCCUUAGUGGUAAAAAUAGGCGGGAACAGUUAAAAAGGCAUCAAACUCGAAAGAGGAGCGGUUAAUACUCACUGGACAAGUCAUGACACUAUUAUCGAACAAGUAUGGAUAAGGCAGUUUAGCAUGAAAUGUGGAGUGACUCUUGAGGAGAAAGUAACCGACUAAUUGACGGUUACCAAGUUGGCUUAUAAAUAUCACAAGCUAUCCAAUAGACAACCCCCCCCCCCCCACCAAACAACACACAAAACUACUUUAUAUUGCAUUUAUCUUUACUUAGCUUUAGUCUAACAAUAGCUUAAGAUUCUCAUCAUAGAUUCAAUUUUGGCAAGUGUCUAUAUUCUGGGAAGUGCUGUCAAUUAGGCCCUAUUUGGAAAAUUUUUGUUUUUGUUCCCUGGAACACAAUUUUUCUUCUUUUGUUCCGGGGAACAAAAAAAGAAUAUAAACACGUUUGUUUACAUUUUUGUUCCAGAGAACAAAUUUGGAACAGAAACAAGAAGUGGAAAAAACAUGUUUCUUAUUUCCAUAAACACUUAUGAGAAACACUUUUUUUUUCUCUUUCUUUUCUUCUUCUUUUUUCUCUUUCUUUUCUUCUUCUUCUUCUUCCUUUUACCAGUCACCAGCCUUGGCCAUGGCCAGCACCGGCAACCAUCCAAACGAGGGCCGGCAACCUCAUCGGAGCGUCGCCGGCCCCUGGAGAGGCUGAUCCACGGCGAGGCUCGUCGGCCCGAGCCUUGUGCGGCCACGGCGAGGCUUGACCACCCCAACCGGCGCGAGGUCGGGCCUUGCCAGGCCAAGGCGAGGCCAACCUCGCGCUGCCUAGGUGAGGCCAAGCUAGGCUGGCCUCCGACGAGCUCACCGGACGUCAUUCAGCCGGUCGCCGACCACGACCAUGGCCGACGACUGGCCAAAGAGAAAAAGAAAAAAUAAAAAAGAAAAAAGGAAAAAUAUAAUAAAAAUUUUAAAAAAUUAAACGAAACAAAAAAAUUAUACAAGUUUACCAAAUGCGUUUCUAUUCCUGGAGUAGAAAUUUUUUGCAAUUACCAAACGCGUUCUUAUACUCAUAAAUUGUUCCCUGGAACAAAAAAAAAAAACUAUUUCUAUUCAAAAAUUGUUCCUCGGAACAAAAAAGUUACCAAACGCGCCCUUAGAUUCCAAUACUAACCCAUUGUCUAGCGUCGCUGAUUAGAUUCCGGCAUUAUGUCCUCAUCCUCAUCUAGAGACGGUGUUCAUUAGAUGUUGCAUUUGUCUAGAAUUAUUGGUUAGAUUCCAACAUUAUGUUCAUGCACGCACCUAGGAAUAGUGUAUACUAGGUGUUGUCUACACUAUUCAGCGUCAUUGAUUAGAUUCUGACAUUGUAUCCUCGUAUCUAUCUUAGAUCGGUGUCUACUAGGUGUUAUCCACACUAUCUAACAUCGUUAAUUAGAUUCAGAUGUUGUGUCCUUAAACUUAGUAGAAGGUAGCGCUUUAUCAAGCAUCUUGUUCAUAUCCAAUGUUGUCGAAGUGCCUUCACUAUUGUAUUAUUUUUUUUAGGUCGGUUCAUUAUUGUAUAGACUACUUUAAUUUUAAUGGGCUUUAAUUAUUUUAAUGAUGUCAUUAAUUAGGUUUCAAUAUUAAUUACCGUUGAUAUUGAAGGUUUGAUAGGUUAGCUAAUUCUUUGAUUUCAAGAUUAUAAGGUGUAUAGUCUCAUUCGCAUUUGACCCUCUUUAUUUAAAGUUAAUACAAAACCUGAGUCUCAUUCAAUAAAAAAUUAAAAUAUAAUACUUGGUGAAAGAUAUUUUAUUGCGAGAUCCAAAAUGACUAAACAAAGUUAUAGAAAGAAAAUUGUCUUUGUUGUAACUCUAAAAACUUCUCUAGAAUUCAUGACAACUUUUCUCCAUCAGGAUAUUUCGUCGCUGGUUUGUGCAAGUUGUCUUUGUUUGGCCAAAAAGAAGAGUAGUAUUUGUCUAGAAAUUUUUGGCCCUUUAUUACCUCAUUUGGAGAGGCUUCCUACCUUCCAAUACACUGGUGGGGCUAAAAUAACGGACUCUACACUUACAAAUGAAUUGAGCGGUUAUAACAUGAACCAUGCGGGUGUGAAUCCCAUAUAAUUACUAUUAGAAGAAUAGCCGUGAAGGUCACUUCUGCCCACCGUAUUGUGUAGAAAAAAAAAGGCAUGACUUACUAGUCACUACUAAGCAAAAUUUUUCAGUCCGAUUCCACAAACUACUUUCCACUAGUGUUAAUUCACAAUUUGGAGUUUGGAUCUCAUUAAAUUACAUGAUCAUUUUUCAUGCUAAAAUCUGCUGUUCAUCCUCUUUUAGGUUUGAGAGAUUGAUAUUCUUUUAAUAUUUUUACUUCUUGUGAAAAAAAAAAAAACUAAUACACAGGGGCAGUAAAUUUGUAUUUUAUUUGAAACUGCAAGUGUUUCGGGAGAUUAUUUCAAUUAAUUACGAGCAUGCUUCAAAUGAAUAAAAUAUAUAUUACUAUUCUCUAAUGACUGAACUUUCUAAUAACACGCUAUAACUCAACAAGCGGCAUUACUCUUAUUCAAAAAUAUUAAAACCAAAAAAAAUAAAAAUUUGAUUGAUGUUGAAUCGACCCAUGCAAGUAAAAGGCUUUUAACUCUCAAAGUAAUUUGAGCUCAUGGGAAGCAAAUACAAUUUGUUAAUGCAAAAAUGACUCGCUCAACUGAUGGUCCCCCUUCAAUAAUCACAAUGCACAAAUUCCUCUAAUGGGUCUGUUUAUUAUUUGCCCUGGAGACAAUAUACUCAACGAGUCUUAUUUUCCAUAUAUAUGGAGAUGUUGCAUACUAGAAUAUUGUACCGUACAAUUUUAAGACGCUUGAUCAUAAUCAAGUACAAGACGUUGUGAAACAUGAUGUUUUACAUUUGUCGACACUUUCGUCAUGCGUCAAUUUUAUGCGAUGCCUUUAUCGGCAACAGAGUGAGAGGCACUUUCUUGAACACGGCUAGGCCAGCCCCUUCUUCCAUGUUCACAUCUCCCUCUGUCAUUCCCUCCGGCAAUUCCCAAUCGAAGGAGUGCAAGACAUUGGCAAGCGCCAGCUCGAUCAUCGCCAUGACCAUCGACAUCCCAGGGCAUCGCCUCCGCCCGGCCCCAAAUGGUAUCAGCUCGAAAUGAUUCCCCUUGUAAUCGAUUGGACUGUCCUCGAACCUCUCCGGCACAAACUCCUCCGGACGCUCCCACAGUCCUGGGUCCCGUCCCAUGCCCCACGCAUUCACGUAGACACAGCACUUCGGGUCGACAUCGUAGCCAGAUAGCUUGAAGUGGCCAAUGGUUUCCCUUGGUAUGAGUAGAACACCUGGAGGGUGUAGCCUCAUAACUUCUUUAAGAACUAACUUCAAAUAUUUGAGCCCGCUGAGGUCCUCUUCUACGACCCAUUUCUUGUUUCCAACGCAACUUCGGAUUUCCUCUCGAGCUUUUCGCAUCACCCUCGGGUUCCUAGCGAGCUCAGCCAUUGUCCAGUCCAUGACAACUGCACCGGUGUCCACUCCUCCGAGAAAUAUAUUCUGAUAGUGACCAUGAAGUCAUGAUUCACAAAAAAGACAAAUACAUCAAUUUUUGCCAGGAUAUCGUUUAUAGCCAAAAAAGAGGACGGUGAAUCCAUUUAAGGAGUUCUUAAAUUAUUCCUGCAAUAUAUAGAACCAUCAAGUUGGCUUCUCAAUCGUGUAUAUGAUCUACAUUAAGUAAUACGUAGAGAUUGUAUGAUAUACCAUCAAGAUGGCCUUGAUGUUAUCUUCCUUGAGCCGGACCCCCGCGAGCUCAGUCUGAUCUUUCUCCAUCUUCAGCAGCACAUCGACAAUGUCCUCCUUUCCCUCGUUGCUCUUAUUCGCAUUCCGAUGCUCUUCGAUCACCUUCUGAUAGAGAUCGUCCAAAUUGCGAAAGCUCUUCUCCAACCUCGAAUGGAGCCCCGUGAACCUGUCCACAAUCCAGCCGAGUCGAGGGAAAUAAUCAGAUGCCGAGAAGCUUCCCAACAUCGCCAUUCCCUCGUGAACCAUAUCCAUGAACCCUUCGUCUUCCAACUCCGUCCCCUGAAAUGGCUUCCCAAAUGCGACCCUGCAUGUAAGGUGUGUAAUCAAGUCAGAAUUUCUUGUGAGCGAUUCAUGCUUGGCUCUCAGGCUAGACAAGCUUCGGCUUGGGGUAUUGACUUGAAUCAAGUCUGAACUUGAUAAUAGCUAAACAAUCAGGUAACUUGCGACACUGAAUCUUAUCGAGUAUAGUCAAGUUCGAACAUAGAACUCACUGUCAGGUUGAGCUCUAGUUCAUAGAACCAGGCUCAAUAUAUUGUCAAACCUCGAAGAAUUUGAGUAGUAACUAAAGAUGGAAAGAUCGGUUAAAAACUCACUUUUUAACUUAAAUUUAGUGGGUUGAGUUAUAUGUGGUUUAGUGAAAAGUUAAAAAAAAAAAAAAAAAAGUCGGUAUGUGCUUACAGUAGUAAAGCCCAACUAGACAUGGGUUUUGCGGGGUCCAAAUUCCUUACGAUAUUCAAGAGUUCGUAACUGACGAAUUUCGUCACUUCCACAAUUGAAAUUCUCUCUCCUACAUACUCUAUUCCACAAUCAUUCCUAAAUUAGAAAGUUUUCUUUUUCUUAUAUAAAUGAUAAAAACAACUUCAUUUUCUAAUUUCCCACGCCAGGAGAAAUAACAGAUCUUAUCAUAGUUUGAUUUGUCAAUUUUUUUGGUAAUUUACUAUUCGCUAAUUUCUUCAUAUUUAAUCAGUUUUUAAUCGGUAGGUUUUUCAAUAUGCUAUUUUCCAUAUAUGAAGAGAAAAACUGCUAAUCAGUUUUUAAUCGGGUUGGGUUGGUUGGAUUGGAUCGGGUGUGGGUCGUUAAGAUGGAUCAGUAUAAUUAGAUAGAUAACUUAAUCUUGACCACUAUGCCCAACCUGCAAGUGAAGUUAGCCGUCAGAGCCAUGAACUUCUCGCUCAUAUUAACCGGAGUUCCGCUCUCUGCUGAUUUUGCGAUCGAUUCGAUCAUAGAUCCCACCUCCUCUUCCCUGAUGUAUCGGAAGGACUGGACUCGCUUCAUGCUAAACAGCUCGAGCACACACAGCGUCCUUAACUCCCUCCAGUAAUCGCCGUACUCCACGAAGGCCACGUCGAGGGAAUCAUAGGAGAGGCGUCCCGUGCCGACCAUCUGCGGGCGACUGCAACUAUCAAGGUCGUGGGUCUUGAGGACCUCCCUGGCAGCAUCAGGGGAGGAGAUUACGAUGGUAGGGGUGCCACCGAGGCGGAUGAGCAUGACGGGGCCAUAUCGUCUGGAG
rnacentral:lncRNA from 1 species